GGCGCAGUGGCAGAGUGGUCUAAUGCGAUAGACUUGAAAUCUAUUCUCUUCGGAGGCACAGGUUCGAACCCUGUCUGCGUCG